AGAGAGAGAGAGAGAGAGAGUGUUUAUGUCUCUGAGUGGUGGAAGAUGAGAAAGAGGGGGAGAGAGAGAGAGAGAGAGUGUUUAUGUCUCUGAGUGGUGGAAGAUGAGAAAGAGGGAGAGAGAGAGAGGGGGAAGGAAGGAAGGUGGAAGGAGAGAGAGGAGUGCUGGCAGAGAGAGAGAUGCAGAUAGUGAGUGAGAGUGAAUGAAUGAGAGGGACAGGGUGGAGGGGGAGAGGGGAGAGACAGAAAUAAAAAGAGGGAGAGAGAGAGAGAGGGACCGAGAGCGGAAAGAGUGCCACCUAAAGAGAGAGAGAGAGAGAGAGUGAGAGAGAAAGAGGGAGAGAGAGGGGGCACAGAAUAGGAUCGGCUGAAAAAAGAAAGAGAGGCUCUCGUCUUUCAGACGGUCUAUUUAUACUCCGGGUACAGCCCGUCCUCCACUGAACACUAGACUCUGUAAAGGCCAAGGAAGAGACGCAGGCCGUAAAGAGCCACAACAAACAGUGCGUCUCAUGGCCGCGCACAGGGACAACUAUAGGACUGACUGAUCACACCUCCCACCCAGCAUGGGGAACCGGGCGGCCAUCUUGAAAUAGGUCACGGUUUGGAUUUUUUAUUUUUAUUUUUAUUUUUUUUUUUAAAGGGGGAGGGGGGGCAAGAAAGCCAAAGAACUGUGUGACUGUUACAUUCCACCCCCUAAAACACACACACACACACACACACACACACACACACACACUUUCUCUCUCUGUGUGUGUAUGCUCUGUGUCAAACAGGACAGCCGCGAGUGACCAAACAUUUUGACAUGUUUGCCCAAAUGAUUAUGCAACAUAUCCUUGAUGGGCAGUAGCCUAUAUGUGUACUGAACCUGCCAUAUUUCAUGUCCAUUGGACGUGCCAUAUUUUAUGUCCAUUGGACAUGCCAUAUUUCAUGUCCAUUGGACCUGCCAUAUUUCAUGUCCAUUGGACUUGCCAUAUUUCAUGGAUUCUACUGCAGAACUUACUGUUUCAUUGUAUUCUAUACAGUCAAUGUAUAGGGAUGGUGUCUGCGCCUUUUGUCUUAAGAGUUUUGUUGUGCCCGUGCGUAAAUUCAAGAAAAAGUUCAGUCAGGUCAUGGAAAAGUAGAGACUGCACUCAGGGGCUGAAAUGUAUUCAACGUGCCGAGAGAACAUUAGACAACAAAACGACUAACGUUUCGAGCCAAACUCAUCAUCAGUGUCUCAAUUUUGAAACAUCUCACCAGGCGGUGACGCCUCCUAUAGGUCAAUGUGGACAUUACAGACACUCAGACAGUAUGCAGGUCAUUUAGGCUACCACAAGCCAAAAAAAAAAAAGACAAUCUUUAUUUGUUUGUUUCUGUUUAUUGAUGUUUAUUUUGUUCUGUUUUGUUUGUUUAUGGUCAACAGGGGGCUGAUAUUCAGAUUCCUAUGAAUAGGGAUGUGAUCUCGACCUGGAAGAAGAAACGCCGAAUAGGGAUGCCUGCGGAAGAGGAGACCAAAUUCAUCUGACAAACACACAAACACAAAGAUGGAUUCAUUCAUUCAAUGUGUGGUUUCCUGGACAAUUUAUAUUUGCUUGGACAAAUAACAGACAUAUAGGCCUCCUCAGUUACAAAUAUUUUUGAACACGGCCUGAAAGUUGUUUAUUUUUUUGUAGUUAAAUAUGCCAUGAUACCACCUGACCUGAUCUUACUUGAUACAAAACAUGAGGUGGGGAUAGAGGACUGAAUGCAUUAAUGUGUGUGUUUUGACUCUUCUAAAGUAUACACUGUAUGUCAUGCAUGAAUGCAUGUUUAAGAAUGUGCUGAGAAUAAUGUUUUGGGGACAAUAAAAAUAUAUAUCUUUGUGAG